rnacentral:lncRNA from 1 species
GCUAACAAGUGAAACUGCGAGCUACUGCUCACUGAUGAUACCCCCGCCGCAAGUGGAUAAUAUUAAUAGUGUAAAAAUAUGCAAGUGUUCGGUAAACAGGAAGUUGUCUAGUGAUGAAUCUGAAAACGCAUCACACGGUAUAGCUGACUUAUAAAAAUCCUGAAACCAAAUUUCAGAAAUCCUUGUAUUGUAGUUCCUGAGAAAAAUGUGACGAAAAUUUUUAACUUGGUUAUCAUGUGUAAAAUCAUACAAGUGUUCGGUAAACAGGAAGUAGUCAAGUGAUGAAUCUGAAAACGCAUCACACGGUAUAGCUGACUUAUAUAAAUCCUGAAACCAAAUUUCAGAAAUCCUUGUAUUGUAGUUCCUGAGAAAAAUGUGACGAAAAUUUUCAACUUGGCUAUCAUGUGUAAAAUCAUACAAGUGUUCGGUAAACAGGAAGUUGUCGAGUGAUGAAUCUGAAAACGCAUCACACGGUAUAGCUGACUUAUAUAAAUCCUGAAACCAAAUUUCAGAAAUCCUUGUAUUGUAGUUCCUGAGAAAAAUGUGACGAAAAUUUUCAACUUGGCUAUCAUGUAU